AUAUAAGGAAUGCAGCUUAAGUGCGCGACGUCCUGUCGCAACAGCUGCAUGACCUACUUCGUGUAGG
rfam:Sporosarcina psychrophila strain DSM 6497, complete genome.